rnacentral:rRNA from 1 species
AUACGGAAGGUCCGGGCGUUAUCCGGAUUUAUUGGGUUUAAAGGGAGCGCAGGCGGAGAUGCAAGCGUGACGUCAAAUUUCGGGGCUCAACCCCGUCUCGCGUCGCGAACUGCGUCCCUUGGUUGCGGGAAGGGGAGGCGGAACUCGUGGUGGAGCGGGGAAAUGCAUAGAUAUCACGAAGAACUCCGAUCGCGAAGGCAGCCUUCCGGCCCGUCAACGACGCUCAUGCUCGAAGGUGCGGGUAUCAAACAGGAUUAGAUACCCUGGUAGUCCGCACAGUAAACGAUGGACACCCGCGGUUUGGCCUGUAUGGCUGAGCCGCCAAGCGAAAGCGUUAAGUGUCCCACCUGGGGAGUACGCCGGCAACGGUGAAACUCAAAGGAAUUGGCGGGG